rnacentral:sRNA from 1 species
AGGGCGAGGAUGCUUAUCAGGAUUGCAACUCAGGAUGAGGGGUCAGGAAGCUCCAGGAAGGUGAAGACCACCGAUUGUCAGGAUGACACGCGUCUGGGAAGACGUUUUAACAAGGAAAUGGACGUAACAGGGAUAGUGGGUAGCUAAAGGAAAGACAGGGUGUGUCGUGAGCUAACAUGGAAAGUGGAAGCCCAUUAAGGGUUAUCAGUGCGGAAAAAGGCGGCAGAGUAAUCUGUCGCCUUUUUUCUUUGCUUGCUU